GGGGGGAUGUGCAUGCUGGUU
rnacentral:miRNA from 1 species